GCCUCUGUGCUAUCAAGUUGUUUUCAAUGAUGCGGCUUCCAAGUCGACGAUCGGCUCCGUUAGACUUGAUCUACACUAUUAAAAGUAUUUGAAAACUAAAUUUCAUAAUUUUUCGGCAUCAUUUAUCUAUCAAACGAGUAGUCUAAAAAUGAACGGCUAAAAAUAAAAAUCUCAGAAAAAAUGAUGAUAAAAAACUUUAAUUUAAGAUCAGAGGUAAUGAUCUUACUCUAAAUAUUGAAAAGAAUUUUCUAUAAAAAUUGCAUCAGAUUUGGAUUGUUUUAUACCGUAAAAUUUACAAACGCAUCACUUCUAUCAUUAAAAUUAUCAAUUUUGAGACAUUUUGAUCACUAGCCAAAUGAUGUCGAAAAAUUAUGAAAUUUAGUUUUCAAAUAUUUUCAAUAGUUUAGAUCAAGUCUAACGGAACCGAUCAUCGAUUUGGAAGCCGCAUCAUUAAAAACUUAGUAGCACGGAGGCCUUCGUGCUAACGUAGUAUACCAGCCUAUAUAUAUAUAGGCUGGGGCUACUAUACUCAUAUGAGUAUAGAGCCCUUUGUACUCAUAAGUCUUCGACCGUUCAGAUGAAAAAUAUGCGGUUAGGAUGAAAGUGGUUACGGUUAGGUUGAUAGUGGGCCCCCUAGGGUUGAGUGGGUGGUUGGUUGAAUAGUAUAAUCUAACGGGUGAAAAUGAUUAAAAGGUAUAUCUAACGGCUAAAAACUUAUGAGUACAAUAGGCUCUAUACUUAUAAAAGUAUAGUAGCCGGACUCUAUAUAUAUAUAUAUAUAUAUAUAUAUAUAUAGAGUUAAGCUAGUAUACUAUCGGUAGCACGAAGGCCUCUGUGCUAUCAAGUUGUUUUCAAUGAUGCGGCUUCCAAGUCGACGAUCGGCUCCGUUAGACUUGAUCUACACUAUUAAAAGUAUUUGAAAACUAAAUUUCAUAAUUUUUCGGCAUCAUUUAUCUAUCAAACGAGUAGUCUAAAAAUGAACGGCUAAAAAUAAAAAUCUCAGAAAAAAUGAUGAUAAAAAACUUUAAUUUAAGAUCAGAGGUAAUGAUCUUACUCUAAAUAUUGAAAAGAAUUUUCUAUAAAAAUUGCAUCAGAUUUGGAUUGUUUUAUACCGUAAAAUUUACAAACGCAUCACUUCUAUCAUUAAAAUUAUCAAUUUUGAGACAUUUUGAUCACUAGCCAAAUGAUGUCGAAAAAUUAUGAAAUUUAGUUUUCAAAUAUUUUCAAUAGUUUAGAUCAAGUCUAACGGAACCGAUCAUCGAUUUGGAAGCCGCAUCAUUAAAAACUUAGUAGCACGGAGGCCUUCGUGCUAAC
rnacentral:lncRNA from 1 species